GGGCCGUUAGCUCAAUUAGGCAGAGCAGUGGACUCUUAAUCCAUUGGUUCUGGGUUCGAUUCCCAGGCGGCCCA
rnacentral:tRNA from 1 species